GACGAACGCUGGCGGCGUGCUUAACACAUGCAAGUCGAACGGAAAGGCCCUGCUUUUGUGGGGUGCUCGGGUGGCGAACGGGUGAGUAACACGUGAGUAACCUGCCCUUGACUUUGGGAUAACUUCAGGAAACUGGGGCUAAUACCGGAUAGGAGCUCCUGCUGCAUGGUGGGGGUUGGAAAGUUUCGGCGGUUGGGGACGGACUCGCGGCUUAUCAGCUUGUUGGUGGGGUAGUGGCUUACCAAGGCUUUGACGGGUAGCCGGCCUGAGAGGGUGACCGGCCACAUUGGGACUGAGAUACGGCCCAGACUCCUACGGGAGGCAGCAGUGGGGAAUAUUGCACAAUGGGCGGAAGCCUGAUGCAGCAACGCCGCGUGCGGGAUGACGGCCUUCGGGUUGUAAACCGCUUUCGCCUGUGACGAAGCGUGAGUGACGGUAAUGGGUAAAGAAGCACCGGCUAACUACGUG
rnacentral:rRNA from 1 species